AGGGAUGCAACACGAGGACUUCCC
rnacentral:siRNA from 1 species